rnacentral:rRNA from 1 species
CCUACGGGAGGCAGCAGUGAGGAAUAUUGGUCAAUGGGCGCGAGCCUGAACCAGCCAAGUAGCGUGAAGGAUGACUGCCCUACGGGUUGUAAACUUCUUUUAUAUGGGAAUAAAAUGUUCCACGUGUGGCUUUUUGUAUGUACCUUAUGAAUAAGGAUCGGCUAACUCCGUGCCAGCAGCCGCGGUAAUACGGAGGAUCCGAGCGUUAUCCGGAUUUAUUGGGUUUAACGGGAGCGUAGAUGGAUUGUUAAGUCAGUUGUGAAAGUUUGCGGCUCAACCGUAAAAUUGCAGUUGAAACUGGCAGCCUUGAGUACAGUAGAGGUGGGCGGAAUUCGUGGUGUAGCGGUGAAAUGCUUAGAUAUCACGAAGAACUCCGAUUGCGAAGGCAGCUUACUAGACUGCAACUGACACUGAGGCUCGAAAGUGUGGGUAUCAAACAGGAUUAGAUACCCUUGUAGUC